rnacentral:rRNA from 1 species
UAGGGAAUCUUCGGCAAUGGACGAAAGCCUGACCGAGCAACGCCGCGUGAGUGAAGAAGGCUUUCGGAUCGUAAAACUCUGUUGUUAGAGAAGAACAAGGACGUUAGUAACUGAACGUCCCCUGACGGUAUCUAACCAGAAAGCCACGGCUAACUACGUGCCAGCAGCCGCGGUAAUACGUAGGUGGCAAGCGUUGUCCGGAUUUAUUGGGCGUAAAGCGAGCGCAGGCGGUUUCUUAAGUCUGAUGUGAAAGCCCCCGGCUCAACCGGGGAAGGUCAUUGGAAACUGGGAGACUUGAGUGCAGAAGAGGGGAGUGGAAUUCCAUGUGUAGCGGUGAAAUGCGUAGAUAUAUGGAGGAACACCAGUGGCGAAGGCAGUUCCCUGGUCUGUAACUGACGCUGAGGCUCGAAAGCGUGGGGAGCAAACAGG